rnacentral:lncRNA from 1 species
AUGAGGUUCGGCUGGUGCCUGUAGAGGACGUGUCACACAGGAGGGGAACCGCAGGGUAGGAAGGAAACUUGGGACCCCGGUGUAAUUUAAGUAACCCAGGGAAAUGCUGCCAGUGGCUGGGAAUGAAAAUGAGCUCUUCAGAGACUCCAGAGCUGUUUGUGUUGUGGAGGAUCGACUCCCAGCCAAGCCCUGGCAUCCACGCAGGACCUGACAGGCUGCCUUGUGGGUGUCCUAGGCAGUCCAAGAACUACAGUACUAGCCUUUGUUGUCACUCAGAUUUGGGGAGCAGGAUGUCAAAAAGGCAAAGGAAAGAGGUGUGGCCAUAGACCUAUUAUCCCUCCUUAUCAGCCCAUGGAGCUGGGCCAGUACCUGAGGGAAGAGCGUGGAGUGUGAUUGCUCUGCUCCCAUGGAGAGAGGGUGCAUGCCUUGAGACUGUAGCUGGGUGGUUUUACUAUCCUGCCAAAAAUUUAGAAAUUUCCCUCUUUGUAUCAGGAUGAAACAAGCAUUUUAAGAUGGUUCUGGAGAAGCCUAAUACCUAUAGGUUAUUAGGACACUCACCUGGACAGAGACCCAAGCUCCAAGCCCUGGUUUUGCUUGAUAGAAAUGGGACAUUUGAACUUGCCGUAUGUUACAGGUAUCCCCUAUUCACCAUCCUACUUGUUUUUUGGGGGUGAUGUUUUCUUCAUCUCUCUGAACAUCUCUUUCCUCCACCCUGUAUGAAUUAUUUAGGCAGUCGGAAAGAGGUCAAGCAGAAGAAGUGAGAGACACUAUCUUGGGUUAAGGGAAUCUGAGACUGUGGACCCAACACCAGAGUCUGAGCAGAUCUACUGGGAACCAUAAUCUUGAAAUCUGGUGCCACUGGGAGGGGUAUGAACUUGGUCUGGAAAGCUCAUGCUGUCCACAGGAGUUUACAUCAAUGCUAUGCUCUGCUGCUGGAGGUCCGAUGGUCAUCUUCCUAAACAGUAGUUCUCACAUGUGUGCACAUUUAUAUUCGGACAAAUGGAAGAUUGGUUUUUGCACCUUAAAUUCAGUUUGGGUGCAAAUCCCUGGGUUUCAUCAAUCAAGACUUGUAAGUGCAAGCAGGGAAUCGGACAGAAAACGUAGCCAGUUAGUGGAAUCCUUCAUAUGGCAAGUGGACUGGGGAGAGGGGCAGCACGCAUGCACGUGUGCAUGUGUGUGUGUGUGUGUGUUUGUGUGUGUGUUUGUGUCUGCACGCAUAUACCUCUCCGCAGCCAAGAGCCAAAGUAAAACCCCACCAUCUCUCAAGAGCUGCACUAUCAGGUGA